rnacentral:rRNA from 1 species
UACGUAGGGUGCAAGCGUUAUCCGGAAUUAUUGGGCGUAAAGAGCUCGUAGGCGGUUUGUCGCGUCUGCUGUGAAAACCCGAGGCUCAACCUCGGGCCUGCAGUGGGUACGGGCAGACUAGAGUGCGGUAGGGGAGAUUGGAAUUCCUGGUGUAGCGGUGAAAUGCGCAGAUAUCAGGAGGAACACCGAUGGCGAAGGCAGAUCUCUGGGCCGUAACUGACGCUGAGGAGCGAAAGCGUGGGGAGCGAACAGG